rnacentral:rRNA from 1 species
AGUGAACGCUGGCGGUAGGCCUAACACAUGCAAGUCGAACGGCAGCACAGUAAGAGCUUGCUCUUACGGGUGGCGAGUGGCGGACGGGUGAGGAAUACAUCGGAAUCUACUUUUUCGUGGGGGAUAACGUAGGGAAACUUACGCUAAUACCGCAUACGACCUACGGGUGAAAGCAGGGGAUCUUCGGACCUUGCGCGAGUGAAUUAGCCGAUGUCGGAUUAGCUAGUUGGCGGGGUAAAGGCCCACCAAGGCGACGAUCCGUAGCUGGUCUGAGAGGAUGAUCAGCCACACUGGAACUGAGACACGGUCCAGACUCCUACGGGAGGCAGCAGUGGGGAAUAUUCGACAAUGGGCGCAAGCCUGAUCCAGCCAUACCGCGUGGGUGAAGAAGGCCUUCGGGUUGUAAAGCCCUUUUGUUGGGAAAGAAAAACAGCAGGUUAAUACCCCGCUGUUCUGACGGUACCCAAAGAAUAAGCACCGGCUAACUUCGUG